UACGUAGGGGGCAAGCGUUAUCCGGAUUUACUGGGCGUAAAGGGAACGCAGGCGGUCUUUUAAGUCUGAUGUGAAAGCCUUCGGCUUAACCGGAGUAGUGCAUUGGAAACUGGGAGACUUGAGUGCAGAAGAGGAAAGUGGAAUUCCACGUGUAGCGGUGAAAUGCGUAGAGAUGUGGAGGAACACCAGUGGCGAAGGCGGCUGUCUGGUCUGCAACUGACGCUGAGGCUCGAAAGCGUGGGGAGCAAACAGG
rnacentral:rRNA from 1 species